GUCACUGCUGCCGCAGGAGGAGGAAACCAUGGGAGGGAGGUGCAGCAGAGAGAAGCUCAGACUUCCCACAGGAGGCCCCCUCGCUCUGCACACCCCUCCUUUGCUUCGUUGUUCCAGGGAACAGGGCCCCGUUUGGAUGACUGGGUCCAAGCGCUGACCGCCAUGGCUAACGGUUCAAGAAUGAGAUCAAGUGGAGAGGAGCAGCUUUUCCUGCAGCAGGCUGAAGAGGAGGUGGAGGAGCUGCAGACCCAGGGACGGCUCUUUAUUCAGCAGCUGCGGAGAGAGCUGAGCCCUGGGGGUGCCUUUCCAGAUGUGGAACUGGAGCAGGGAGCGGCCG